rnacentral:rRNA from 1 species
CAGUCGCCGCGGGAAUACGUAGGUGGCAAGCGUUGUCCGGAACUAUUGGGCGUAAAGCGCGCGCAGGCGGUUUCUUAAGUCUGAUGUGAAAGCCCCCGGCUUAACCGGGGAGGGUCAUUGGAAACUGGGAGACUUAGAGUGCAGAAGAGGAGAGUGGAAUUCCAUGUGUAGCGGUGAAAUGCGUAGAUAUAUGGAGGAACACCAGUGGCGAAGGCGACUCUCUGGUCUGUAACUGACGCUGAGGCGCGAAAGCGUGGGGAGCAAACAGGAUUAGAUACCCCCGUAGUCCCUGUCUCUUAUU